rnacentral:lncRNA from 1 species
CCACUGGUCCACCUCAGAACAUUGUCUCUUCAUAGCAGAGGGCCCACGCCAAUGAUUGAUUUCAUAUGUGGGAAGGACGUCAGUGACACAUUGACCACACAGGAGAAACAUCUCCGUGGUGGAUGAAAAAACAGUGGUUACUUGUCCCAGUGUUAAUCGUCAAUCUGAUUUAGUGGCUCUUGCAUUCCAGGAUAUCCGAUUGAACCUCUAUAUGUAUCCCUGGCUGGCCUGGGACUUGCUGUAUAGACCAAACUGGCCUCAAACUCAGAGAGAGAUCCACUUGGCUGUGCUCAAAAGUGCUGAGAUUAAAGGCA